rnacentral:lncRNA from 1 species
CAACAACAACAACAACAAACCCAGUGUAUUCCCACUUAGUGGGGUCUGGGGGGGUAAGAUGUACGCAGUCCAUACCUCUACCUCUGAUGAAGUAGAAAGGCUAUUUCCGAAAGACCCCCGGCUCAAGUGACGAGAUAUCACACAAACACAUAGUACAGCACAGAAGCAGAUGACAUAACAUAGAUACGGCACCCAUAAGGAAUAUAAAACAGAGUAGAGCAGGAAUNN